UGUCACUGUUGGGGAGUGCUAUAGAAGAGCAAUUCACCGCUCAACAAUAACGUCUUCCUUGCUUAAUUUUUUAAGGGGUUCCUCUUUUUCUUGCCAGUGUUUUGCAGCAAGAGCAUUUACUGUCAGCAGCUUUCCUGGAAUGGAAAGAAAUGGUACUGCAGGAUAUGCAUCUUACCUUGGAUAUUCAGCAGGGUGCUUCUGAGGUCUGCUUUUUCAUACAAGACCCUGCAGUUGGACCAGAAUCCAACCAGUAGAAUAUAAACAGGGUGUGUGGGGUGAAGAAAGAAGGAGAAGAAAUGGCCAUUGUGAAAGUUCAGUCAAAUGGAAC